rnacentral:misc_RNA from 1 species
GAUGAAGACGUAGCGAAAUGCGAUAAGUAAUGUGAAUUGCAGAAUUCAGUGAAUCAUCGAAUCUUUGAACGCACCUUGCGCUCUUUGGUAUUCCGAAGAGCAUGCCUGUUUGAGUGUCAUGAAAAUAUCAACCUUGACUUGGGUUUUGUGCUCUAGUCUCGGCUUGGAAUUGGGUGCUUGCCGCUUUUACGAGCGGCUCACCUUAAAUGUAUUAGCUGGAUCUGUCUUUGAGACUUGGUUUGACUUGGCGUAAUAAGUAUUUCGCUAAGGACAUUCUUCGGAGUGGCCUCGUUUCUAGGACGCUUGUCCGCUUUCCAAUACAAGUUCCACCUCGUGGACAUGACUUUUUAUUAUCUGGCCUCAAAUCAGGUAGGACUACCCGCUGAACUUAAGCAUAUCAAUAAGCGGAGGA